rnacentral:rRNA from 1 species
GUUGCCAUCAGGUAAAGCUGGGAACGUCUGGGGAGACUGCCGGUGAUAAACCGGAGGAAGGCGGGGAUGACGUCAAGUCCUCAUGGCCCUUACAUCCCGGGCUACACACGUGCUACAAUGGCAGGUACAGAGGGCUGCGAAGCCGCGAGGUGGAGCGAAUCCCAGAAAACCUGUCUCAGUCCGGAUUGAAGUCUGCAACUCGACUUCAUGAAGGCGGAAUCGCUAGUAACCGCGAAUCAGCAGGUCGCGGUGAAUACGUUCCCGGGCCUU